rnacentral:rRNA from 1 species
AGAGUUUGAUCCUGGCUCAGAGUGAACGCUGGCGGCGUGCCUAAUACAUGCAAGUCGAACGAUGAAGCUUCUAGCUUGCUAGAAGUGGAUUAGUGGCGCACGGGUGAGUAACGCAUAGGUCAUGUGCCUCUUAGUUUGGGAUAGCCAUUGGAAACGAUGAUUAAUACCAGAUACUCCCUACGGGGGAAAGAUUUAUCGCUAAGAGAUCAGCCUAUGUCCUAUCAGCUUGUUGGUAAGGUAAUGGCUUACCAAGGCUAUGACGGGUAUCCGGCCUGAGAGGGUGAACGGACACACUGGAACUGAGACACGGUCCAGACUCCUACGGGAGGCAGCAGUAGGGAAUAUUGCUCAAUGGGGGAAACCCUGAAGCAGCAACGCCGCGUGGAGGAUGAAGGUUUUAGGAUUGUAAACUCCUUUUGUUAGAGAAGAUAAUGACGGUAUCUAACGAAUAAGCACCGGCUAACUCCGUGCCAGCAGCCGCGGUAAUACGGAGGGUGCAAGCGUUACUCGGAAUCACUGGGCGUAAAGAGCGCGUAGGCGGGAUAGUCAGUCAGGUGUGAAAUCCUAUGGCUUUAACCAUAGGAACUGCAUUUGAAACUACUAUUCUAGAGUGUGGGAGAGGUAGGUGGAAUUCUUGGUGUAGGGGUAAAAUCCGUAGAGAUCAAGAGGAAUACUCAUUGCGAAGGCGACCUGCUGGAACAUUACUGACGCUGAUUGCGCGAAAGCGUGGGGAGCAAACAGGAUUAGAUACCCUGGUAGUCCACGCCCUAAACGAUGGAUGCUAGUUGUUGGAGGGCUUAGUCUCUCCAGUAAUGCAGCUAACGCAUUAAGCAUCCCGCCUGGGGAGUACGGUCGCAAGAUUAAAACUCAAAGGAAUAGACGGGGACCCGCACAAGCGGUGGAGCAUGUGGUUUAAUUCGAAGAUACACGAAGAACCUUACCUAGGCUUGACAUUGAGAGAAUCCGCUAGAAAUAGUGGAGUGUCUAGCUUGCUAGACCUUGAAAACAGGUGCUGCACGGCUGUCGUCAGCUCGUGUCGUGAGAUGUUGGGUUAAGUCCCGCAACGAGCGCAACCCCCUUUCUUAGUUGCUAACAGGUCAUGCUGAGAACUCUAAGGAUACUGCCUCCGUAAGGAGGAGGAAGGUGGGGACGACGUCAAGUCAUCAUGGCCCUUACGCCUAGGGCUACACACGUGCUACAAUGGGGUGCACAAAGAGAAGCAAUACUGCGAAGUGGAGCCAAUCUUCAAAACGCCUCUCAGUUCGGAUUGUAGGCUGCAACUCGCCUGCAUGAAGCUGGAAUCGCUAGUAAUCGCAAAUCAGCCAUGUUGCGGUGAAUACGUUCCCGGGUCUUGUACUCACCGCCCGUCACACCAUGGGAGUUGUGUUUGCCUUAAGUCAGGAUGCUAAACUAGCUACUGCCCACGGCACACACAGCGACUGGGGUGAAGUCGUAACAAGGUAACCGUAGGUGAACCUGCGGUUGGAUCACCUCCUUUCUAGAGAAAAGCUUUUAACAUUCGCUUGUUAAAAGCCAAAGAGUAUUACCUGACAAAAGAACUUCUUGUUGCUUAGUUUUGAAAGAUUGAACUUAUUCUUUCUUUUUUUAAAUCUUAUUUUUCAUUUGGUUUUUGCUUAAACUUUUAAUUCUUGUUUGUUUUUAAUAUUUCUUGCUUGUAUUGGAUUUCUUAAAUCUUACUUCUUGUUCUUUUCCAUUCUUAUUUUUUACUUAUUGGGUUUUAAUUCUUAUGUUUUAAUGUUUGGUUUCAUGUUUUUAGUGUUUUUUAUCUUUUGAUUUAGAGUUUGGUUGUUUGCUCUUUAAUUAAAGUUAGUGUUUUUUGUUUUUUGCUUGUGCUUUGUUUUUCUUAAAUCUUAUUUCUUGUUUGCUUGAUUUUAAUCGCUUAUGUUUUUUGUUUGUUGUGUUUAAUGUUUUUUGUUUGUUGUUUCACCUUGUCUUUUGCUUGCUUGAUUUUGGUUUCUUACUGCUUAUGGUUUUUACUUCUUGCUUUUUAUUUAGUUUGAUUUUGAUUUGAUUGUGUUUCGUGUUUUAUUUUUCUUAAAUCUCAUUUCUUUUGUUUGAGUGUUGGAUUUAGUGUUGGACUUUCUUAAUUCUUAUGUUUGGACUUUUUGCUUCUUGUUUCUUUGUGUUCUUAAGGUUUUUACUGCUUGUGGUUUGUGGUUGUUGUGUUGGAGUUUUACUUGUUACUUCUUGGGUUUUAAUUUCUUAUUCCUUACUUAUUGGGUUUUAAUUCUUAUGUUUUAAUGUUUGGUUUCAUGUUUUUAGUUUUUCUUGCUUCUUAACGUUUAGUGGGUUCGUUAUUUUUAAGGGGGUUUAGUGGGGUUUGGUCGUUGGGUUUUAUUUUUUUAAGCCUUAUCUUUAUCUUAUCCUUUAUUUCUUGCUUGUUUUGUUUCUUGCGUGUUAAGUUUUAUUUUUUGUGAAAUGCAUAUAAGGGAGUAGGGGUUAUUUUGCGAUGCUCUAAAUCCUAAAACGCUUUAAAAGUUAUCGUUUGAUUAAAA